UGGCCAACUGGAACGCUGUGGUUGGCCAUCAGUUGAUGGGUUUGACCAAUGGAACAUUGGGCGAUGGGUUUGGCCGAUGGGAACACCGUUUUUAGUCAUUGGCUGAUGGGUUUGGCCAACUGGAAAGCGGUGUUUGGACGUCAAGUGAUGGGUUUGGCCAACAGAACAUCGUCCAAUGGGUUUGGCUAACUGAAAUGCCGUCGUUCAUCAUUGGUUGAUGGGUUUGGCCAACUGCAACGCUGUGGUUAGUUUUUGACUGAUGGGUUUGGCCAACGGAACAUUGUCUGAUGGGUUUGGCCAACUGGAAUGCCAUCGUUUGUCAUUGGUUGAUGGGUUUGGCCAACUGAGACGCCGUGUUUGGUUAUUGGCUGAUGAGUUUGGUCUACAUGACGUUGGCUGAUGGAUUCGGCCAACCAGAACGCCAUCGUUUGUCAUUGGCUGAUGGGUUUGGCCUACUAGACGUUGGCUGAUGGGUUUGGCCAACUGGAACGCCACGAUUGGCCAUUGGUUGAUGGAUUUGGCCAACCAGAACGCUGUGGACCGUCAUUGGCCGAUGGGUUUGGCCAACUGGAACACCUUGGUUGGUCAUCGACUGAUGGGUUUGGCCAACAGGACAUUGGCCAGUGGAUUUGGCCAUCGGGAACGCCGUCGUUCAUCAUUGGUUGAUGGGAUUGGUCUACUGGACAUUGGCUGAUGGGUUUGGCCAGCGGAAUGCCGUGGUUUGUCAUUGGCUGAUGGGUUUGGCCAACCACAACGCCACGAUUGGUCAUUGGUUGAUGAGUUUGACCAACUGGAACACCGUGGUUGGCCAUCGGCUGAUGGGUUUGGCCAACUGGAAUGCCGUCGAUUGUCAUUGGUUGAUGGGUUUGGCCAACUGGAACGCCGUGAUUGGUCAUCGACCAUCGAUUGGUCAAUCAGAGCGCCGUGGCUCACCAUUGGCUGAUGGUUUGGCCAAUCAGACGUUGACUGGGGGGUUUGGCCAACCGGAACGCCGUCCUUCGUCAUUGGCCGAUGGGUUUGGCUACCUGGAACGCCGUGGCUUGUGAUUGGCUGAUGGGUUUGGUCAUCGGGAACACCGUUGUCCAUCAUUGGCUGAUGAGUUUGGCCAGCUGGAACGCCGUGGCUUGUGAUUGGCCGAUGGAUUUGGCCAGCCGGCCUGUUGGCUGGCCCCUUGGGGUAGCUCCUCGCCAUUGGACGAGGGGCUCGGCCGUCGUGGGUGCCAAAGAUCUUGAUUGGACGACGGCCUCGGCCACCUGGAGGCCUCGGCCUCUCAUUGGACAACGGUUCAGCCAGGGGGCUCGCGUCACCUUCGGACAACGGGAUUGGCUGCCUGGCCUCUGAUGUCAUCACAGGGGGGUGGGGCUUGGCCUUGGGGAUACCCAGGGGAGAUUUGGGGACCCCCCCAGUUGGGGGCCCCCCCCAAGAUUUUGGGGUGGCCCCCCCCUCCUGGUGGCCCGCAGAUUUGGGGUGGAUCCCCAAGAUUUUGGGGUGGCCCCCCCCAGAUUUUGGGGUGCCCUUCUUGGGGCCCCCAGAUUUCGGGGUGCCCCCCCAAAUUUUGGAAUGCCCCCCCCGCCCUUGGGGCUCCCACCUUUUGGGGUGCUCCCCCCCAGAUUUUGGGGAUCCCCCCCCGGUGACCCCCAGAUUUUGGGGGGGGGGC
ensembl:lncRNA